UACGAGUGCUUCAAGCGUUAUCCGGAAUCAUUGGGCGUAAAGGGUGUGUAGGCGGUAAUGUUAGUCUUCUGUCAAAUCUUUCGGCUCAACCGAGAGUCUGCAGGGGAAACGGCAUAACUAAGAGGACGGAAGAGGUCUCUGGAACUCAUGGUGUAGCGGUGAAAUGCGUUGAUAUCAUGGGGAACACCAAAAGCGAAGGCAAGAGACUGGUCCGCUCCUGACGCUGAAACACGAAAGCGUGGGUCGCGAA
rnacentral:rRNA from 1 species